UACGUAGGGGGCUAGCGUUGUCCGGAUUUAUUGGGCGUAAAGAGCGUGUAGGCGGCUUUACAGGUCCGUUGUGAAAACUCGAGGCUCAACCUCGAGACGCCGGUGGAAACCGUAAAGCUAGAGUCCGGAAGAGGAGAGUGGAAUUCCUGGUGUAGCGGUGAAAUGCGCAGAUAUCGGGAGGAACACCCGUAGCGAAGGCGGCACUCUGGGCCGUGACUGACGCUGAGGAGCGAAAGCGUGGGGAGCAAACAGG
rnacentral:rRNA from 1 species